rnacentral:rRNA from 1 species
AGUGAACGCUGGCGGUAGGCCUAACACAUGCAAGUCGAACGGCAGCACAGUAAGAGCUUGCUCUUACGGGUGGCGAGUGGCGGACGGGUGAGGAAUACAUCGGAAUCUACUUUUUCGUGGGGGAUAACGUAGGGAAACUUACGCUAAUACCGCAUACGACCUACGGGUGAAAGCAGGGGAUCUUCGGACCUUGCGCGAUUGAAUGAGCCGAUGUCGGAUUAGCUAGUUGGCGGGGUAAAGGCCCACCAAGGCGACGAUCCGUAGCUGGUCUGAGAGGAUGAUCAGCCCAACUGGACCUGAGAACCGGUCCAGACUCCUAGGGGAGGCAGCAGGGGGAAAUUUUGGACAAGGGGGGCAAGCCUGGACCAGCCAUCCCGGGUGGGUGAAGAAGGCCUUCGGGUUGUAAAGCCCUUUUGUUGGGAAAAAAAAGCAGCAGGUUAAUACCCCGCUGUUCUGACGGUACCCAAAAAAUAAGCACCGGCAAACUUCGG